rnacentral:rRNA from 1 species
AAUGAACGUUGGCGGCAUGGAUUAGGCAUGCAAGUCGAGCGAGAAGAGUUUUGACGCUUGAUUUAGAACUCGGACAGCGGCGAAAGGGAGAGUAACGCGUAGUUAUGUGCCCUAGGGUCCGGAAUAGCCACGGGAAACUGUGGGUAAUGCCGGAUAAUAUCCCCGGAUCAAAGGUGUGAUUCCGACCUAGGAGCAGACUGCGUCCUACUAGCUAGUUGGUGGGGUAAUGGCCUACCAAGGCAAUGAUGGGUAGCGGGUGUGAGAGCAUGACCCGUCUCACUGGGACUGAGACACUGCCCAGACACCUACGGGUGGCUGCAGUCGAGAAUCUUCGGCAAUGGGCGAAAGCCUGACCGAGCGAUGCCGCGUGCGGGAUGAAGGCCCUCGGGUUGUAAACCGCUGUCGUAGGGGAGGAAGGUUCCGUGAAGAGCGGAAUUUGACCUAUCCUAGGAGGAAGUACGGGCUAAGUUCGUGCCAGCAGCCGCAGUAAAAC